GUCUAAGAUGGGAAUGGCAUGCGGAUUCAAGUUGCUUCAAGAAGGCAAACAACUCAUCCAGGGAGUAAAGUGGAUGGGACAAUUAUGAAGUGUUUUGAGAUAUUCCAGCAAAAGCCACUACCACAAGUACACAAACGUACAAAGAGUCAGGCAAACAGUGGGAACAGAAACAAGAGCACAACUGGUGUGACCAAUCAACAGUGCACAUUUUGAACUGUGGGGAAAUGAGACUAAGUGACUGGCCCCAGGUUAGACGGAAAGUUGGUAGCAAGUCCCAGACUAGCCAUCUAACAGGACCAUCUUUCUUCCCUGUGCAACUUAUUCAAUAGUUACCAACUUCAAGUUUUCCUUGUAUCUUUCUCUGAAGAAGUACCACAGUCAGAGACAGGUUAGCAGACUAAAUUGUCCAUUGGUCUGACUUGAUCUGGCAUG